rnacentral:rRNA from 1 species
AGCUUGCUCCUGGAUUCAGCGGCGGACGGGUGAGUAAUGCCUAGGAAUCUGCCUGGUAGUGGGGGACAACGUUUCGAAAGGAACGCUAAUACCGCAUACGUCCUACGGGAGAAAGCAGGGGACCUUCGGGCCUUGCGCUAUCAGAUGAGCCUAGGUCGGAUUAGCUAGUUGGUGGGGUAAUGGCUCACCAAGGCGACGAUCCGUAACUGGUCUGAGAGGAUGAUCAGUCACACUGGAACUGAGACACGGUCCAGACUCCUACGGGAGGCAGCAGUGGGGAAUAUUGGACAAUGGGCGAAAGCCUGAUCCAGCCAUGCCGCGUGUGUGAAGAAGGUCUUCGGAUUGUAAAGCACUUUAAGUUGGGAGGAAGGGCAGUAAGCGAAUACCUUGCUGUUUUGACGUUACCGACAGAAUAAGCACCGGCUAACUCUGUGCCAGCAGCCGCGGUAAUACAG